AUCAUGGCUCAGGAUGAACGCUGGCGGCGUGCUUAACACAUGCAAGUCGAACGAAGCACUUACCAAGGAUUCUUUCGGGAUGACUAAUAAGUGACUGAGUGGCGGACGAGUGAGUAACGCGUGGGUAACCUGCCUCAUACAGGGGGAUAACAGUUAGAAAUGACUGCUAAUACCGCAUAAGCGCACAGCAUCGCAUGAUACAGUGUGAAAAACUCCGGUGGUAUGAGAUGGACCCGCGUCUGAUUAGCUAGUUGGUGGGGUAACGGCCUACCAAGUCGACGAUCAGUAGCCGGACUGAGAGGUUGAACGGCCACAUUGGAACUGAGAAACGGUCCAGACUCCUACGGGAGGCAGCAGUGGGGAAUAUUGGGCAAUGGGCGAAAGCCUGACCCAGCGACGCCGCGUGCGGGAAGAAGGUCUUCCGGAUUGUAAACCGCUGUUGAUAGGGAAGAAGAAAGUGACGGUACCUAUCGAGGAAGUCACGGCUAACUACGUG
rnacentral:rRNA from 1 species